AAAUUUUUUUCUUUUGUUUCAGUUUGUUAGCACAUUCCAGAGAUACCCAUCUCGGAGUUUCUCCGACCAGGGAUCCCAGACCAACGGAGAUACCGGAGAAUAUCAUAGUGAACCUGGAGAAGGGAUCCUGUUUUGAGGAGGGGGACCCGGAGAACAAGAUGAACACUUCACACGAUAAUAUCGGGUAUCUAGAGACACAUUUCUAGCUCAGGGACAGGAACUAGAUAUAUUUCUAGCUCAGGAACAGGAACUAGAUAUAUUUCUAGCUCAGGGAUAGGAACUAUAUAUUAAUUUCUAGCUCAGGGACAGGAACUAGAUAUAUUUCUAGCUCAGGGACAGGAACUAGAUAUAUUUCUAGUUCAGGAACAGGAACUAGAUAUAUUUCUAGCUCAGGAACAGGAACUAAAUAUAUUUCUAGCUCAGGAACAGGAACUACAUUUAUUUCUAGCUCAGCCUCUCAGGGACAUGAACUAGAUAUAUUUAUGGAUCAGGGACAGGAACUAAAUAUAUUUCUAUAUCAGGGACAGGAACUAGGUAUAUUUUUAGCUUAAGAACUGGAACUUGCUUCAUGUUUUAUGAUCCCUUAAUAGACAUAUAAAAAGAACAGAUCAUUUUCUGACCUAAACGAAGUCGUCUUCAUAUCCCUUAGUGUACCCAUCCCUUAAAUAAUGAGUUUCAUCAGUCACUAUAUACAAAGUAGUAAGCUCUGUUUGUCUGUUUUGAUGUCCGAUUAUAGCUCAUGAACCCUGGGUAAGGAUGGAUUCUCAAGCUAGUAUAUAAUAAUGUUUCUAUUCUUUGUGUUGAAACUUAUAUGUUGUGUUUAAAAAUGUUGAUCUCUUUAUAUUGAUAUGAGCUUAACCCAUUAAGAAACAACUUUGAAAUGUGAUAUCAGUUAUUUCACCCUUUAUCAGGCUCAACUUUAUAUCAGGCAGUUUUCCAUUCAAAAUAAUUGUAUUUCAUGUUUUUAUUAACGUUGAAAAUGUUCAUGUAUCUACAUUAAAUAUAACGGUUUCGGAAAGACAAAUUCUGGUACAAUAGUUCCUGAAACGAAAAAUCCGCAGUAAACAAAUUCCGGAAGAUAUUUAUAUAUAUAUUCUUCUCAUAAUUUAUGGUCAUUGGCCGCUUGACCUUCAGAAUACUAAGACCGCGGUUAAGAGUGGCUAAGUGCAGACGCGCAACUAGAGGUGCCUCAAAAUAACGAAAUCAUUAGUUCAAAAACUCUGGAAAAUGCUUUAAAUGACGUGCUUUUCACACAAAUAAAAUUUUUUUGCAUGAAUUUUACAAUAAAAAAAUACUUCUAGCUACGGGACAGCGACCUUUGGCUAUGACAGGCGAGGGAGCCGACAAAAUGUGCCGUUUUAUGAAAAUUUCAGAAUUGCCUUUCAGAAUUUACCUCUCUGGAGUUAGAAUUUUCGGAAUUUACCUCUCCGGAGUUUGUUUAUUCGGAAUUUACCUUUCCAGAGCUAGUCUGUUCGGAAUGUACCUAUACGGAAUUUAUUAUUUGGAUUAUACCUCUUCUGAAUUUUCCCUUUUCGGAGUUUGUUUAUUCAGAAUUCACCUCUCUUGUUUGUUUUUCUUUGGAAUUUACUUCUCCGCAUUUUGUUUUUCUGAAUUUAACUCUCCGGGUUUGUUUUUUGAAUUUGCCUCUCCGGGUUUAUUUUCUGAAUUUACCUCUCCAGAUUUUGUCUUUUCUGAAAUUUACCUCUCUGGAGUUAGUCUUUUUGAAAUUUAUCUCUCCGGAAUAUGUUUUUUUCGGAAUUUACCUUUCCGGAGUUUGUAUUUUCGGAAGUUAACUCUCCGGAUUUUUUCUCGGAAUUUACCUCUCUAAAGUUUGUAUCGGAAUUUACCUCUCCGGAGUUUGUAUUUUCGGAAUUCGCCUACCCGUCUAAAGAUGAAAGUCACAUUAAAGAAAAUGACCGAGCAUGGAGAAUAAAAUUUAAUAUUUAAUGUCAAGAGGAUUCCUAAUAAUAGUUAAACUUAACUUUAGAGCAGUAGAACAGUUGUUAUUUAUUAUUCAAUAUUAUACAUUUGGUUGGGAAUAUUGUACAAGGGGUGCAUCCUAUCAAAAUAUUGUACAAGGGGUGCAUCCUAUCAAAAUA